rnacentral:rRNA from 1 species
AUUGAACGCUGGCGGCAUGCCUUACACAUGCAAGUCGAACGGCAGCACGGACUUCGGUCUGGUGGCGAGUGGCGAACGGGUGAGUAAUAUAUCGGAACAUGCCCUAGAGUGGGGGAUAACGUAGCGAAAGUUACGCUAAUACCGCAUACGAACUAAGGUUGAAAGUGGGGGAUCGCAAGACCUCAUGCUCAUGGAGUGGCCGAUAUCUGAUUAGCUAGUUGGUGAGGUAAAGGCUCACCAAGGCGACGAUCAGUAGCUGGUUUGAGAGAACGAUCCCCCACACUGGCACUGAGAUACGGGCCAGACUCCUACGGGAGGCAGCAGUAGGGAAUAUUGGACAAUGGUGUAAGCCUGAUCCAGCCAUGCCGCCGUGCAGGAAGGAA